GAUAAGCCCUUACGGGGAAAGAUUUAUCGCCGAAAGAUCGGCCCGCGUCUGAUUAGCUAGUUGGUGAGGUAAUGGCUCACCAAGGCGACGAUCAGUAGCUGGUCUGAGAGGAUGAUCAGCCACAUUGGGACUGAGACACGGCCCAAACUCCUACGGGAGGCAGCAGUGGGGAAUAUUGGACAAUGGGCGCAAGCCUGAUCCAGCCAUGCCGCGUGAGUGAUGAAGGCCCUAGGGUUGUAAAGCUCUUUUGUGCGGGAAGAUAAUGACGGUACCGCAAGAAUAAGCCCCGGCUAACUUCGUGCCAGCAGCCGCGGUAAUACGAAGGGGGCUAGCGUUGCUCGGAAUCACUGGGCGUAAAGGGUGCGUAGGCGGGUCUUUAAGUCAGGGGUGAAAUCCUGGAGCUCAACUCCAGAACUGCCUUUGAUACUGAAGAUCUUGAGUUCG
rnacentral:rRNA from 1 species